CGAAAUGACUAUAAUGAAUAAAAUAUUUUACAAUGGCUCAUAUUCAGUUAGAAAAUACAAAUAAAUAAUUAAGAAAGAUGUGUGUAAUAUUAAAAGUGAAAACAUCACAAUACACAUGUACAUAUAUUUUCUUAGAUAAAAAAAUUUAGAUGAUAUAAAAUAGAAUAAACUAUGAUUUCGUACAGGCCUGUAUCGAUGUAGAAAGCUAUCAGAAUAAACGACGAAUUACUACAGACAAUUAUUAAUUUAGCUAUGUAUCGAAACACAUUAAUACGUAGAAAACUCUAAUUUUGGAUGAAUCGCAACUAAUAUACAGAGCUUUUUAAUUUUAAUGGAAAUUGCCCAAAUAAUCUGAUUUACGUUAGGAGGGGUAAACAAUGGAUUAUUGUAUAAAAACGUUACUUCUUUUAGUUUUUUAUUCAAUAGUGAAAUUUGUUUUAUGGUAUAUCCAUAGAUACUUUUUAAAUCAAUUUUUGUGUUUCUAAUACAGCAGAAACUGAGUAUUUUUGCAGUUUUUUCGCGAGUCUGCAAGUAAUAUAGAGAAUUUAGUAAACUUCUUGUUUUAUGUUUGAAUUACGCUAGUUUUUUAGACAUUAGUUUUCACUGUUGCCUUUAAAUUUUGAUAAUGAGUUUAUCAAAAGUGAUUGGAUACCUUUUAAGGUUGUAAGGUGAUAACCCGAUGAGAGCUCAAAGAUAUAAGAACAAACUUAUAACUUUAGUUGAAAUUGACCCUUAUUUACCACAUGGAAAGAGUUUUAGUCAAACUCUUGUUCGUUUUCUAUCAGUUUCCAAUAUGGAGAUUGGUUUUAACAACUAGUUUCUACACCAAAACACAAAUACAAGCAUUUGAAAGAUUUUAAAGUUGGAUUUGUAAUCGUCCAAUCUUUUAAUGACUAUUUAUUUGCUUAUUUCUCUGCCGGUACCAUUAAAGCAGUGUUUUUGGGAGGAAAUUUGACACUUCUUCAAGCAGCAACUCCUCACAAAGCCAAUAAAAUUGAAAAUUAUAAAUCCAGCAAAUAACAUGAUAAACCUCAAAGAAAUUUUGGGCAAAAGCAUUUAUAACAGAAGUCAAGAUGGCUGGAUGAUAUCGAAGAGGAUCUUUGGUAAUUAGUUGUGAGGUGGUGGAGACGUGAUGUUUGGAGGAAUGUAGUGGACGAGGCCAAGGCUCUUUGAGGGCCGUGGUAGUAGUAUUAGUAGGUUCCCCUGAUUAGCUUCAGCUUAUUCUUCUCAUUUCUUAAAAUUGUUUUCCUCCAGUUUCUCCUUUUAAACAUCAUUUUAUCCAUUGAAGAAUAAUAAAAACAGUUUAAGGAAUAGAAAGCAGUUGAUUAUCUAUAGAGAGAUCAAGUUAGAAAAGUUAUGGACAAGAAGACAGUAAAAAUGAAGUUAGUUUUUCUAUUCUGUAUUGAAACUUUCACCAAUUUUAGUAUUUUUUUGGUUCCUUUUUAAUUUUAUCUCCUUUUUCCUAUUCAAUUUUCUAUUAUCGAGUCCAAAACAUAAGAAUUGAACAUGUUGUCUGAAUAAUGUAUUUUUUUGAUAGAAAAAACAUAUUAGCAGUAAAUAUACAGGGUAUUUCACAAUAGGCUGAAUUGAUUCCUAUUUUUAUGCAACUCAUUUCAGUCGACUACGAUUUGUAUUUAAACCCGAAGUGAAUUCCAACUUUUAUUUAUUUAUUUAUUUAUUAAUGUCUCAGGAAACGAAUAGAAACUAGACAAAAAUCAUCAGCAUUUUUCCACAAUAAAUUAUACAGGGUGCUCAGAAAUUGGUGACAAAAAUCGUGUGAUCCAGUUUUUUAAAAGAAAACGCAAUUUUUCUCAACUGCAGUGGGUUCCACGCUGAAAAUAAGUGUAAUUUGUGCUUAAAACCCUAUAUCUGAAAUUAAUUUAUGGGGGUAGUGAGUAAGAUUUGGUCCCUGGAUAUCGCCGAGAGGGGGUUUUAUAUUUUAUUUCGAUAACCAUGUCAAAAAUAGUCAUGUAACUCAGUUACUCAGUAUAAGUGACAUAAGUGGAAUUUGUGCUUACAACCCUAUAUUUACAUUAAUUUUGGGGGUGGAUAUUGCGGAGGAAAGGUUUUACAUAUUAUUUCAAUAACAAUGUCAAAUUUUCAAUAAGUAAUUGAAGUAAAUAGUUUGGUGAUAUUUUUAGGUUCUAAUAAAUGUCAGCAGAAACACCCCUAUUUUAUAAGUAGAAUCCACUAUCAUUGGAAAAAAAUGGGGUUGUGAACAUAAUAAUAUAGAAAAGUUUUCAAUAUUUAGGAAGUUUCAGGCAUUUUUAAGAUCCCAAUGUUUUCAAAAAACAAUUUUAUUGAAAUAUGUCAAAAUUUUCAAAAAAUUAUAUGAUAAAGUUUUUCACAAAUUGGUACAGAAAGUCGUGUAACUUAGUUUUAUAAAUGGCCACGCCAUUUCUACCAACUUCGAUGGAUUCUACGCUGAUAUUAAGUGGAAUUUGUGUUUACAACCCUAUAUUUAAAUUAAUUUUGGGGCUGGGUAUCGCGGAGGGAAGGUUUUACAUAUUAUUUCAAUAACCAUGUCAAAUUUUCAAUAAAUAAACAAAUUGAAUUCUAGAGGUUUCUGAAAAUUGUCAAUAUAGGGUUGUAAGCAUUGAGAUACUGAAAUUGUGAUGGAACUUUCUCAUAUUUUGAAAUCUUUAGAAAUUUUUAGACCCCAUUGGUUUUGAAAAAAUUUUUUUACAAAAAAAUUCAUGUCAAAAGUCAGAAAAUAUGUUCUAAAUUGCGAUUUUAAAUAUGUAAUGAAAAAAAUAACAAAAUUAGAUUCGUAGACAGCUGAAACGACCUUUCAGGAAAACUUUCCAUUGUAAAAAUGUUACCAGUGGGGUGGAAAAGGGAUUUCAUAAAGGAAAUGGGAGAAAAUAUAAUUGGUAAGAUUAAGGAGCUCAAAUUAGGAUAAAAAAAUAAUAUUUUUAUACGUGUGUUAGUAAAAUCUAUUAUAAUAUAUAAAAUUACACGCAUAUUUUCCAAAAAAAAAUUUAAAAAGCUCCUGGAUACGUAAAUCCUACCGGCCUAUAUUUUACAUUAAUUAUCAUUGUUAACAUCAAAUUAGUAAUUAAAUAUUCUUUGGCAGUUUAUUCCUACGCGACAAGAGGAAUGGUAAAAAAUUUACAACUGUGAAUGACGUAGUUUUUUUUAUUAAAAAAUUAAAUUGUACGAUAACUUUUACGAAAAGUUGGUAACUAACCCAAAUCGAUUAACCCUAACGUAAAUAUUGUUCAUAGUACAAUUUAUUUUUUUAAAAAUUGAUAAUUAGAUUGACUUAAUCUACUACAAUAAUUCUAUAAACCCAACCGAAGCUACGCUUGGUCUAAAAGAAACUCUGUAAAUAUUAAAAAAAAAUUAUUGGUCAUUAAGUCGCACAAAACUUCCAUUAAAAAAAUAAAUAACAUGGCACGUUUAUAGAGAAUAUGAAAAAAUUAGUAAGGAAAGCAUAUUUCCUUCUCACUCUAUUAGCUACGCGCAAACGCACGUGAACUGAUAGUUGCGAUCAUUAAUAGAACGUUCUGGGCAUGCGUAUAUGAUUCAAAGUAACAAACGUACUCCUAACUAUUAGUUUAUGUCCUCCAACAUCAUCAGAAAUAUAGAAUGAGAUGAAGCGAUUUUGUUUAAUGUAAAAAAGUAUGUGGGAUGAUAAAAAAAGAACUUUAAGGGCAUUUUUACUAUAUGAAAAGUCAAAAAUAGAAGUAAACAUCUUCCAUUUAUCUGCAAUCUACUCGAUUACCUAUGCGCAAACACAAAACUCUGAUCGUUAUUAUCAAUAAAACGUUCUAGGUUAAGUCCUGUAUCUGCGCAUACGAUUCAAAGUGCCAAAUAUACUCCUGUACGUCAAUUUACGUUAUUGUCUAGUUCUUCAACAACGUACUAAAUAUAAAAAUAGCUUCAUAGGCAUUUUGACCAUAUGAAAUGUCAAUUCACUGGUGUGUCAAAAUUAGAAGAAAAAAAGAGAUUGGAUUUUGAUUUUAUUAUACGUCAAAAUUUGACAGAAAGAAUUGAAACAUCAUAUAUAUGAAAUGAAGUUUUUAUUUUUUUUAUUAUAUAUUAUCAUAGUUUAUAGUUUUCAUCAUAUUUAUAGUUUUCAAAACCGAUUUUUUCAAUUAUUCUCUGAAUUAUUGGAAAUAACGGAUAUUUUGUGCGACAAUAUUAUUUAUUUACAUAUAGAUUUAGUAUUCAGCAUAUCCACAGUUGAGAACUUUGAGCAACGUUUGCAAAUUAUCAGUACUUAUAAAUAUUCACAACUUGCUCUAUUUAUAUAUUAUAAAAUAUAAUAGAAAGAACCCAAAUAAUACCGGAAUUUAUAUGUUUAUUGCUCAGAUAAACCAUAAAAUUCUUAAUAACAAUUUAAAUCGAUAUUAAUAUCAAUAAUCGUUACACGUCAAUAGUGCCAUUGGUAUUACGUCACGAUGUUACCAAAAAUUUUUUUUGUUAAACGCUUUAUUCUUCACCAUGAAAAGAUUAUUAUUUUUAUACGUGCAGUAUUAAAAAAAAUAAAUUUUAAUUUAGAUUAAUUUUUAUAUUCUGUAAGACCCAUAGAUGUGAUACCAUUUCUUUUAUAUCUAUGGUACGCCACUGGAACUCUUCUUUUGUUUACUGGUUUGCUAAUAUAUCAAAGGCCAUUCAAGUCGUUUAUUUAGAUUAUGUCAAUAAUUUGAUUGUCACUAUUUUCUAUGUAUUGCUGUAUUUUUAUUAGUACUUUUUGUGAUAUCUUUUUUCCCGUUUUUAUUAAUAUUUGUGUAAUAAUAACUUUUUUCCAUUUUUAUAAGUAUUUUUUGUGAUAACGUUUUUUUUCUCGCUAAAAAACUAGUAGUUCAAAAAACCUGUGUAUCCAUCAAAACGAAAAAGUACCAAUAUUGUGAAAAAUGAAAUGUUUCAACAAUUUAUAAAUUUUCAAAAAGAAAUAAUUUUCUAUCUAAAGGAAAUUCAACAUUUUCACCUAUAAAUCCUCCAAAUUUAAAAUACAGGUUCGUAUUUAGAAUUUUAAUUUGAAUUUUCAUUUUAUUGAACCAUAUUUCCAAAUAAAAAUCUAUCAUACACUUUUAUUACUAUUUUAUCUCAAAAAUAAUUGUCUUAAAUAUAAAACAUUCAUUUCAAUUUCUCUGCAGGGCAUAAUAAAUAAAAUUCCAUUUAUGUAAAUAAUCCUAUUUUAAUAAUUAAUGUCAAAAAAUGAAAUUUGUCCUACAAAUAAAAAAAUAAGUUAUUUUUUUUGAAAAUUUUCAUAAUUGUUUUAAAUAAAUUCGCUAUAUAUAAAUUACCUUCAUAUAUUUAUAAAACAACGUACUUGAAAUCCGCCCCUGUCUAAUAGAAUAUCAUAAAACGUUUUUUACAUGAAUCAAAAAACUUAAUCAUAUAAAUACUCGACGACUAGACAGUUUGUACAGCAAUGCACUAAAUGAAACCAUUCCAAUAUAAAAAAUCACCCUGUAUAAAAAUAUCCCAAUCUCCCUUAACAAAAUCACCGCAACGAACUUUUUCUCUCCCCAAGAGUUCCCAGUAGUUACUAGGAUAACUCGAAUCGCUAACAGUGAAUUGUAUAGUGACUAGUGCAUUUAAAAUAUAAAUUAGUGUUUAGUGAAGUUGUGAGUGGCAAGAAAAUACACCGUAUGUUCAAAUUUAUCGGUUUGACCAAGAGUGUAGAAUAAAAAUGCAUUUAAAUAAUUUUUUCUACUAUCAUAAGAUAACCCAGUUCAUCAAAAGAAAAA